rnacentral:rRNA from 1 species
GAUGAACGCUGGCGGCGUGCCUAACACAUGCAAGUCGAGCGAACAGACGAUGAGCUCUUUCUCUUGCCGUUAGCGGCGGACGGGUGAGUAAGACGUGCAUAGCCUACCACUUUUUCUGGGAUAAUAUCGUGAGACCACUGCCGCUACUGGCUAAUAUAUUCAACGGCAGGGUUCAAGAGUGAUUGAGGCUUUUGCUGUUACUUUUAGCUGGAUCCGCGUCGCAUUAGCUAGUUGGUAAGGUAACGGCCUACCAAGGCGACGAUGCGUAGCCGACCUGAGAGGAUGAUCGGCCACACUGGAACUGAGACACGGUCCAGACUCCUACGGGAGGCAGCAGUGGGGAAUAUUGGGCAAUGGGCGAAAGCCUGACCGAGCAACGCCGCGUGGGUGAAGAAGGUCUUCGGGUCGUAAAGCUCUGUUAUUGGGAAAGAACAACAGUGUGAGUAACCACGCACGUUUUGACGGUACCUAAAGAAUAAGCAACGGCUAACUACGUG